CGAAAGCCUGACGGAGCAAGACCGCGUGAGGGAGGAAGGCUCUUGGGUUGUAAACCUCUUUUCUCAGGGAAGAAGAUCUGACGGUACCUGAGGAAUCAGCAUCGGCUAACUCCGUGCCAGCAGCCGCGGUAAUACGGAGGAUGCAAGCGUUAUCCGGAUUUAUUGGGCGUAAAGCGUCCGCAGGCGGCUAAUCAAGUCUGCUGUUAAAGGCCGAGGCUUAACUUCGGUUGAGCAGUGGAAACUGAUUAGCUAGAGUGCGAUAGGGGUAGAGGGAAUUCCCAGUGUAGCGGUGAAAUGCGUAGAUAUUGGGAAGAACACCAGUGGCGAAGGCGCUCUACUGGGUCGCAACUGACGCUGAGGGACGAAAGCUAGGGGAGCG
rnacentral:rRNA from 1 species